GACGAACGCUGGCGGCGUGCCUAAUACAUGCAAGUCGAACGCAGUGGGGACGGGUGAGUAACACGUGGGUAACAUCCCCCUCAGAGUGGAUAACACUUGGAAACAGGUGCUAAACCGAUAUUGAUGGCUGGACCCGCGGUGCAUUCGCUAGUUGGUGAGGUAACGGCUCACCAAGGCCACGAUGCAUAGCCGGCCUGAGAGGACGAUCAGCCACACUGGGACUGAGACACGGCCCAGACUCCUACGGGAGGCAGCAGUAGGGAAUCUUCGGCAAUGGGCGAAAGUCUGACCGAGCAACGCCGCGUGAGUGAAGAAGGUUUUCGGAUCGUAAAACUCUGUUGUUAGAGAAGCGGUAUCUAACCAGAAAGCCCCGGCUAACUACGUGCCAGCCGCCGCGGUAAUUC
rnacentral:rRNA from 1 species